rnacentral:sRNA from 1 species
GGCUGGAGCCCAUCAUUGCCUUGGAAAUGUUCAUGCAAACCUUCCCGUUAAUAAGGUUAGCAUACCUGAGCGAGAAAAUUCGAUUUUAAAUAAACACAAUUAUUUAAGGUGACCGUCCAUCCAUUGGUUCUUCUGAGUGUUGUUGAUCAUUUCAAUCGUGUCAGCAAAACUCAAAGCGUGAAGCGUGUU